rnacentral:rRNA from 1 species
GACGAACGCUGGCGGCGUGCUUAACACAUGCAAGUCGAACGGAAAGGCCCUUCGGGGUACUCGAGUGGCGAACGGGUGAGUAACACGUGGGUGAUCUGCCCUGCACUUUGGGAUAAGCCUGGGAAACUGGGUCUAAUACCGAAUAGGACCACGCGCUUCAUGGUGUGUGGUGGAAAGCUUUUGCGGUGUGGGAUGGGCCCGCGGCCUAUCAGCUUGUUGGUGGGGUAAUGGCCUACCAAGGCGACGACGGGUAGCCGGCCUGGGAGGGUGACCGGCCACCCUGGGACUGAGGUACGGCCCAGACUCCUACGGGAGGCAGCAGUGGGGAAUAUUGCACAAUGGGCGCAAGCCUGAUGCAGCGACGCCGCGUGAGGGAUGACGGCCUUCGGGUUGUAAACCUCUUUCAAUAGGGACGAAGCGCAAGUGACGGUACCUAUAGAAGAAGCACCGGCCAACUACGUG